UACGUAGGGUGCGAGCGUUGUCCGGAAUUAUUGGGCGUAAAGGGCUCGUAGGCGGUUUGUCGCGUCGGGAGUGAAAACUCAGGGCUUAACCCUGAGCCUGCUUCCGAUACGGGCAGACUAGAGGUAUGCAGGGGAGAACGGAAUUCCUGGUGUAGCGGUGAAAUGCGCAGAUAUCAGGAGGAACACCGGUGGCGAAGGCGGUUCUCUGGACAUUACCUGACGCUGAGGAGCGAAAGUGUGGGGAGCGAACAGG
rnacentral:rRNA from 1 species